GGUAGUCCACGCCGUAAACGAUGUCGACUUGGAGGUCGUGCCCUUGAGGCGUGGCUUCCGGAGCUAACGCGUUAAGUCGACCGCCUGGGGAGUACGGCCGCAAGGUUAAAACUUAAAUGAAUUGACGGGGGCCCGCACAAGCGGUGGAGCAUGUGGUUUAAUUCGAUGCAACGCGAAGAACCUUACCUACUCUUGACAUCCAGAGAACUUAGCAGAGAUGCUUUGGUGCCUUCGGGAACUCUGAGACAGGUGCUGCAUGGCUGUCGUCAGCUCGUGUUGUGAAAUGUUGGGUUAAGUCCCGCAACGAGCGCAACCCUUAUCCUUUGUUGCCAGCGGUUAGGCCGGGAACUCAAAGGAGACUGCCAGUGAUAAACUGGAGGAAGGUGGGGAUGACGUCAAGUCAUCAUGGCCCUUACGAGUAGGGCUACACACGUGCUACAAUGGCGCAUACAAAGAGAAGCGACCUCGCGAGAGCAAGCGGACCUCAUAAAGUGCGUCGUAGUCCGGAUUGGAGUCUGCAACUCGACUCCAUGAAGUCGGAAUCGCUAGUAAUCGUAGAUCAGAAUGCUACGGUGAAUACGUUCCCGGGCCUUGUACACACCGCCCGUCACACCAUGGGAGUGGGUUGCAAAAGAAGUAGGUAGCUUAACCUUCGGGAGGGCGCUUACCACUUUGUGAUUCAUGACUGGGGUGAAGUCGUAACAAGGUAACCGUAGGGGAACCUGC
rnacentral:rRNA from 1 species